AUCACUCCGAUAGAUGGAGUCACUAACUUUAAUGUGAGCCCGCGUCGGCAUGAUUUUUAAAUGUUGCCAAUUAUUCGCCGUCCUUUUGCUUCACAAUGUCGUCCAAAUGUUUUUCUCACGAUAGAAGAGCAUACCUCGCAACUGCAGCAUUUCUGAGCUAUGAAGAAAGUUUCGACGCAGCAGAGAAUUCUUUUCAUUUUCUUCCAUCUUCCGUAAAAGUAACGAGAGAAGGAGAGAGGCUGAGGUUACGGCUGAGUGAGCAACGCAUUCCGCUUGUUUCAACGAAUCAAUUUAUUUUCUUUGACACAAACUGCCACUGACUCUUUCAGGUAAGGUGAGCCCAGAGAAAGAGAAAAGUCUGUCUCCACAAGAUUCAUUUUAUAUGUUAAAAUUUACAAGAAGGGGCGUGUGUUUCGGCGCGAGAAAUGCGACUUGGUUUGUUUCUGUCGUGCAGCCGUUGUUUCGCAGCUCGGUCA